rnacentral:rRNA from 1 species
CCUACGGGUGGCAGCAGUGAGGAAUAUUGGUCAAUGGACGAGAGUCUGAACCAGCCAAGUAGCGUGAAGGAUGACUGCCCUAUGGGUUGUACACUUCUUUUAUAUGGGAAUAAAAUGUUCCACGUGUGGGAUUUUGUAUGUACCUUAUGAAUAAGGAUCGGCUAACUCCGUGCCAGCAGCCGCGGUAAUACGGUGGAUCCGAGCGUUAUCCGGAUUUAUUGGGGUUAAAGGGAACGUAGGUGGGUUGUUAAGUCAGUUGUGAAAGUUUGGGGCUCAACCGGAGAAUUGCAGUUGAAACUGGCAGGCUUGAGUACAGGAGAGGUGGGCGGAAUUCGUGGUGUAGCGGUGAAAUGCUUAGAUAUGACGAAGAACACCGAUUGCGAAGGCAGCUCACUGGACUACAACUGACGCUGAGGCUCGAAAGUGUGGGUAUCAAACAGGAUUAGAUACCCGAGUAGUC